CAGAGUGAACGAAAGAAAAAUUUUUUACAAGCGAUCAAAGGCGCUGUCCGCGAUUUUGUGUAAAUUCCUACAAUUAAAAGUAACAAAGUUUAAUAGAAAAGUAUAAUAAUAGUGAAACUAGUUGCUUGAAUCAUUUUGCUAUAUGUAUUUUAUGAAAAUUGGGGAAUUUGCCCGAGAAUAUCGCAUGUGAAAGGCGAGUGUAAGCAGCCUAAAAAUUGUGCUAACGAGGAGAAAAAUGCGAACAAAUUUUAACGGGAAGAAAAAGGUUUGUUCGGUCUUCUCCACGGCAUUGUUUUUGCUGUCGUUAGCGACGUCGGCAGCAGAGGUGGUGUCGCUUUCGAUUCUGUCGUGAGUGCAAAGAAUUUGUAAAAAUCAAAGAAAACGAAAUUAUAGAAUUAUAAAGCGAAAAACAAACUGAUGUAGAUAAUAAGUGACUAAAAAAUAUCUUUUGGGAAAAUAUAAAUCCGUACCACAGGUAAAAACAAUCGGCUAAUAUUAAAAAGCAAUAGUCGUCACCAUCAGCGCCGCUUAACAUAUUGCUCGGGCGUUUUGACAUUUGAUGACAUUUGCGCAGCAAAAGCGAACGGUUGGGCAUUGCUGAAAGUGUAGUUGUGGUUGAAGUAAAGCGAGCAACGAGGAAUCGGCGAAAAAGGAUAAAAUCAAUCGUUUUCUUUGGCAAACAGUGAGCUGUGAUGAAAAAUAUUAUUGUAAUGGUUUCCAUCGCUCUGUUUAGCUAAAAAGGACAUCGAUUUUGUUCUCCGGUCCGCUAACAUAAUAUACAAUGUCGACAAUAAAGUUGUGUUGACCUUGCAAAUUUCAAUACCACAGGACACACGGGCAGUUCAAUCCUGUUACUACUAAGUAAGCGUGUGUCCGAGCAAGAAACAAUUUGGCAGACAGACAAUUCCAAACACAGGCAUUGCAUAUAAACUACACAGUAAAACACAUAACUUAAAAUAUUCAAAUAACCAACACAAUAAAUUAGUAUAAAGCUUCAAUAGAACUGCAUUCAAUGUGCCAUUUCAUCUGGAGAUAAGGUUCACACUAUUCCCAACAUUUAAUAUAUGUAUAUUUAACGUAGACGCUUAAGUAAAGUAUUAGAUACCAAAAAGAAAAGGAUACGCAACAGAAGAAUUCCCUCCACUAAGCAGCGUCAAAUAACAAAAUUAUAACAAGCGCAGUUGUCUAAAUAAUUGUAUUCGCACCACUAUUAAGAUAAUCUCUGUCUUAUUUAAUAUACUUAUCCAUAACUAAAGCUUACAGUUUGUGCACUACACUAUUCAAAAUUGGUUGAAAACUACUCUCCAGAACUCGAAUUUAUAAGAUUUGAGAGCGUUAGAAAAUUAAAACUCAACGAAUUAUAGUUCAAAGAAAAGAGUUAAUGGUGAUUAUUGAAUAACUGGAUGCUUACACUUAGUGAAAGGAACAUAAUUCAUCUUAAACAAGCGGGAUUCACAAUAAAGAAGAAAGUUAUUUGAUAUAAAUAUAUACAUAUGUGUAAAAUUAUAUUUAUCUAAGAGGGGCCAUCAAAUCGGCUUGGAACUAACUUAAAUUAAGCAUCCUGAAGUACAUCGCUCUGAAGUACAUGUACAUGGAGUAAUUGGAUGCAUUGAUAAUCACGUCUCCAUAGAAAGCGUCAAUAUCUACAAAAUAGCCAGUGGUGGCAUCAUUCAGAAAAUUCUACUAGCCUUUUUUGAUUCAGUUUUGCCAGAUAUAAAUAUUUGUAGAACAGAUUCGCAAGAGGACAUAAGAAGUACAGCUAAAAAUAAAUACAAAGCCGGAAAAUGUCAUCGGGAACAUUUGUUGAUCGAAUUGAUCCAUUUGCCAAACGCUCAUUAAAGAAAAAGAGUAAAAAAAGUCAGGGUUCCUCGCGUUAUAGAAAUUCUCAGGAUGUGGAGCUUCAACAGCUGCCGCCGUUAAAAGCCGAUUGCUCGAGUUUGGAACAAGAAGAAUUAUUCAUUCGCAAGUUACGUCAGUGCUGUGUAUCUUUUGACUUUAUGGAUCCAGUAACGGAUCUAAAAGGUAAAGAAAUUAAGAGAGCUGCUCUAAAUGACCUCUCCAAUUAUAUAACACACGGUAGAGGCGUGCUCACGGAACCUGUGUAUCCAGAAAUUAUACGUAUGAUAUCAUGUAACUUGUUCCGCACACUGCCUCCCAGUGAAAACCCAGAUUUCGAUCCUGAAGAAGAUGAUCCAACAUUAGAAGCUUCAUGGCCACAUUUGCAAUUAGUCUAUGAAGUAUUUCUGCGUUUUUUGGAAUCGCAAGACUUUCAAGCGACUAUAGGCAAACGUGUAAUUGACCAGAAAUUUGUUUUGCAGCUUUUGGAGCUCUUCGAUUCUGAGGAUCCACGUGAACGCGAUUUUCUCAAAACCGUUCUACAUCGCAUCUAUGGAAAAUUCUUAGGAUUACGCGCUUUUAUACGAAAACAAAUUAACAAUAUUUUCUUGCGUUUUAUUUACGAAACAGAGCAUUUUAAUGGUGUCGGCGAAUUACUGGAAAUAUUGGGCAGUAUAAUUAAUGGUUUUGCCUUGCCUCUGAAGGCCGAGCAUAAACAGUUUCUUGUGAAGGUGCUAUUACCUCUGCACAAAGUGAAAUGCCUCGGGUUAUAUCACGCUCAACUGGCAUAUUGCAUCGUACAGUUUCUUGAAAAAGACCCAUACCUUACUGAGCCGGUAGUGCGUGGAUUAUUGAAGUUUUGGCCAAAAACCUGUUCUCAAAAAGAGGUUAUGUUUUUGGGAGAAAUCGAGGAGAUAUUGGAUGUUAUUGAUCCUCCUCAAUUUGUGAAAAUACAGGAGCCAUUAUUUCGUCAGAUCGCCAAAUGUGUGUCAAGUCCGCAUUUUCAAGUUGCCGAGCGUGCGCUUUUUCUUUGGAAUAAUGAAUAUGCAAUGUCGUUGAUAGAGGAGAAUAACGCAGUUAUUAUGCCGAUAAUGUUUCCGGCGCUGUAUAGAAUUAGUAAAGAACAUUGGAAUCAGACUAUCGUUGCCUUGGUUUACAACGUGCUAAAGACAUUCAUGGAAAUGAACUCGAAACUUUUCGAUGAACUAACCGCCAGCUAUAAAGCUGAGCGACAGAAAGAGAAGAAGCGCGAACGAGAUCGCGAAGAGUUAUGGAAGAAAUUACAUGAACUUGAAAUAUAUCGUGCAAGAAGCGGCAGUGCCGUGGGCACAUCUAAUUCGGUGCUAGGAGCUGGUGGAAGUGGCGGCAGUGCCGCUGGCUCGCAACAAAAUAUCAACUCCUAUCAGCAACAACAAUCGAAUGCAAGCAUGGUAAACAGCGGAAAUAGUGGUGGCUCUGGUGACAACAAUCCUGCCUUACUUAGCGGCGGUGCACAAAGCGGCGGUACCUCAGUGAAUGCCGGCGGUACGAAUGCGUUUGCCAAAGUAAAAGCGGAAAAGGCAGAAAACUAAACUAUGAGGCGAACAAUGAAUGGGAACAAACUUAAUAAUAACUUAGUGUGAAGUUCAAGCCGUGAAAGAAAUAUUUGGUGUUGUAAGUCAAAAAAGAUAAACGGAGCUUGCAUUUGUGCGCCUACGACCCAGUGUAAGCCGCAAUGGAAAUGAAAAUAUUAUUAAGUAAACUUGGAGUCCCUAUCGAAAAUAGACAAAAACAAAAACUACACCAACAUGAUCAAAACAAAAACGUUUCACCACCAUAAUAUCCGGCAUCAUUACCUUGAUAACGAUCGAACUAGAAGAAGCUAAAUAUUGAUAAAAUACAAAACAAAAGUAAAUAAAAAAAAAACAAAAAAAAAAAUAAAAUAAAAUAAAAAUAAAAAAUAGAUGUCGGAUUUAAGAGCAACGUAAUGUGGAUGAAAGGCAGAACACUUACAACUGGGAUCGUGGUAUUACAUAAACAAAAGAAAAUCUUAAAAAAAAAACUAAAUAAAAUAAUUAAUACAAGUAUAUGAGGAGGACGAAAAUGCAAAUAAAAAUACAUACAUAUAGAGGAAUGCUAGAAAUUGUAACCUAACUGUA